rnacentral:tRNA from 1 species
CCGGGAUUGCGAAACUGGCAGUCGCACAGAACUAAAAAGACUGGGAAAGUAAACAUUCGAACCGGUUCGAUUCCGGUCCUCGGCA